UCAUUAAGUUGGGCACUCUAAUGAGACUGCCGGUGACAAACCGGAGGAAGGUGGGGAUGACGUCAAGUCCUCAUGGCCCUUAUGACCAGGGCUUCACACGUCAUACAAUGGUCGGUACAGAGGGUAGCCAAGCCGCGAGGUGGAGCCAAUCCCAGAAAACCGAUCGUAGUCCGGAUUGCACUCUGCAACUCGAGUGCAUGAAGUCGGAAUCGCUAGUAAUCGCAGGUCAGCAUACUGCGGUGAAUACGUUCCCGGGUCUUGUACACACCGCCCGUCACACCAUGGGAGUGGGGGAUACCAGAAGUAGAUAGGGUAACCGCAAGGAGCCCGUUUACCACGGUAUGUUUCAUGACUGGGGUGAAGUCGUAACAAGGUAGCCGUAGGGGAACCUGCGGCUGGAUCACCUCCUUU
rnacentral:rRNA from 1 species